AAACCUGAGGAACCCAAAAGUUCGAAUGGGGAGAUUCAUCGUCAACGAGGCUGGCUUCGCGAUGGCUCGUGAUGUCCCGGUUGCUUCCGUUCCGGGGCACGCUCGUCACGCUUUUGCGUCCGGUCGCGUCGGCGUGCACUUCUCCCCUAGUAGAACGUCGCGACCCGUUGGGUGCCGGUCUUCGGCCUGGGUGGACGACUGUCGCAUCGUCGCGAGGCGUGUGCGGCAGACCCCCGUGUGCCUAACCCGGCUGCCCGGCGGUACGCUCAUGGUAUCGGGCCGCAAUUUUUGAACUGCGUCGGGCCCAUCGCCGCCUUCGGAUCUCGGUGGUACCGUCCCAACGGCGUCUCCGCGGCUGGCGUGCACUAGGCGAGAGGUGACCUCCGACUGGCCAUUGGAUACCGGUCGGCGACGCUACUGCUUUGGGUAAUCUCAGGACCCGUCUUGAAACACGGACCAAGGAGUCUAACAUGUGCGCGAGUCAUUGGGAACAGCGAGGCCUAAAGGCGAAAUGAAAGUGAAGGUCGGCCCUAGCGCCGACCGAGGGAGGAUGGGCCUCGUUACGAUGAGGCUCCGCACUCCCGGGGCGUCUCGUUCUCAU
rnacentral:rRNA from 1 species